ACUAAAUGAAUAAGUAUUGUUUAGGCAGCACUAAAAUUCUGGGAAUCUGCUGAGAUCUGAGGUGGACUACGUGCUCCUAAGACUCACAGUCCAUGUCAGGCUUCAUCUCAUCAAAAUGAAUGGUGUCUCUUUAUGGCCUGGCAUGUACCGGCAGAAGGUUCUAAGUUACACCAAUGGGACAUUUAAACCUGCCCUAAAAUGCGUUUCAGGUAGGAACAGAAUGACUGUGGAGCAGCCUGCAAUGCCCAUUUGUCGAUUUCCUUGCACUGCACAUGAUCAAUCUGCAUUGCCAUGGGUAAUUUUUGCUGCAAAAGGUGCCUUGUACCAGCUUGUUGAAGCACCAUGGGAAGACACACAAACCACUUGUUUACUCUCUCCAUUUCUAGGAGGUUGGAAGAACCAAACCAUGCUAGAAACAGAACCGCUGCAAGCCAGGCAGCUGAACAGUCAGAGCUUAUGGGGGAAUCCUAGGAGGACUAUUGGAUUGAGAUUUGAGGGCUCAUCAGAGCAGAACAUUGGAUGCAGAGUUCAAAGUGCCCUUGUGUGGGUCCAUUCAGAAGCCACUCAGCAGACCACAGGCGCAUACCUUGUGAGUACUUGGUCUCCUGGAGGUCACACUGCCCCUGGAUGUUUGCUACUAGCUGCUGUGCAGCAGCACUGCCAGAUGUGGGGGACACAAUCUGUUCCUGGCCUUUUGCUGCAGACAGAUGCAAAACCAGGACUGCUCCUACUUUGGCUCUGACUCCUGGUCGUCACACGUGUGACCUCAAAGCUACUGCACACCAUUGUGUACCUGCAGACUUACUGGAGCAAAGCCUCCAAAUGGCAAAUGGAAAAGCCAUCUGGACUUGUCCACGGCCCUGUUAACUCUCAUGGUGCUGCCUUGGCUGUAGUCAACCACCUCUAGCAGGAGGAAAUGUGAUCCUUAACAAAAC
ensembl:lncRNA